ACACAUGCAGUCGAGCGGUAGAGAGAAGCUUGCUUCUCUUGAGAGCGGCGGACGGGUGAGUAAUGCCUAGGAAUCUGCCUGGUAGUGGGGGAUAACGUUCGGAAACGGACGCUAAUACCGCAUACGUCCUACGGGAGAAAGCAGGGGACCUUCGGGCCUUGCGCUAUCAGAUGAGCCUAGGUCGGAUUAGCUAGUUGGUGGGGUAAUGGCUCACCAAGGCGACGAUCCGUAACUGGUCUGAGAGGAUGAUCAGUCACACUGGAACUGAGACACGGUCCACACUAAUACGGGAGGCAGCAGUGGGGAAUAUUGGACAAUGGGCGAAAGCCUGAUCCAGCCAUGCCGCGUGUGUGAAGAAGGUCUUCGGAUUGUAAAGCACUUUAAGUUGGGAGGAAGGGUUGUAGAUUAAUACUCUGCAAUUUUGACGUUACCGACAGAAUAAGCACCGGCUAACUCUGUGCCAGCAGCCGCGGUUAUACAGAGGGUGCAAGCGUUAAUCGGAAUUACUGGGCGUAAAGCGCGCGUAGGUGGUUAGUUAAGUCGGAUGUGAAAUCCCCGGGCUCAACCUGGGAACUGCAUUCAAAACUGACUGACUAGAGUAUGGUAGAGGGUGGUGGAAUUUCCUGUGUAGCGCUGAAAUGCGUAGAUAUUGGAAGGAACACCAGUGGCGAAGGCGACCACCUGGACUGAUACUGACACUGAGGUGCGAAAGCGUGGGGAGCAAACUGGAUGAGAUACCCUGGUAGUCCACGCCGUAAACRAUGUCAACUAGCCGUUGGGAGCCUUGAGCUCUUAGUGGCGCAGCUAACGCAUUARGUUGACCGCCUGGGGAGUACGGCCGCMAGGUUAAAACUCARAUGAAUUGACGGGGGCYCGCACAAGCGGUGGAGCAUGUKGUUUAAAUUCGAAGCAACGCGAAGAACCUUACCAGGCCUUGACAUCCAAUGAACUUUCUAGAGAUAGAUUGGUGCCUUCCGGGAACAUUGAGAACAGGUGCUGCAUGGCUUGUCGUCAGCUCGUGUUCGUGAGGAUGUUGGGGUUAAGUUCCCGUAACCCGAGCGCAACCCUUUGUCCUUAUGUUUACCACCGCACGUUCAUGGUGGGCACUCUAAGGAGACUGCCGGUGACAAACCGGAGGAAGGUGGGGAUGACGUCAAGUCAUCAUGGCCCUUACGGCCUGGGCUACACACGUGCUACAAUGGUCGGUACAGAGGGUUGCCAAGCCGCGAGGUGGAGCUAAUCCCACAAAACCGAUCGUAGUCCGGAUCGCAGUCUGCAACUCGACUGCGUGAAGUCGGAAUCGCUAGUAAUCGCGAAUCAGAAUGUCGCGGUGAAUACGUUCCCGGGCCUUGUACACACCGCCCGUCACACCAUGGGAGUGGGUUGCACCAGAAGUAGCUAGUCUAACUUCGGG
rnacentral:rRNA from 1 species